rnacentral:rRNA from 1 species
CCGGCACGGGUGAGUAACACGUAUCCAACCUGCCGUCUACUCUUGGACAGCCUUCUGAAAGGAAGAUUAAUACAAGAUGGCAUCAUGAGUUCACAUGUUCACAUGAUUAAAGGUAUUCCGGUAGACGACGGGGAUGCGUUCCAUUAGAUAGUAGGCGGGGUAACGGCCCACCUAGUCUUCGAUGGAUAGGGGUUCUGAGAGGAAGGUCCCCCACAUUGGAACUGAGACACGGUCCAA